CUUGCGGUCAUAUCACGUUCGAACACCAGUUCUCAUAUGAUCACCGAAGUUAAGUAACGUUGAGCUUGGUCGAUACCUAGAUGGGUGACCAGUUUGGAACACCAGGUGCUGUAAG